UACGAAGGGUGCAAGCGUUACUCGGAAUUACUGGGCGUAAAGCGUGCGCAGGCGGUUUUGUAAGACAGAGGUGAAAUCCCCGGGCUCAACCUGGGAACUGCCUUUGUGACUGCAAGGCUUGAGUGCGGCAGAGGGGGAUGGAAUUCCACGUGUAGCAGUGAAAUGCGUAGAUAUGCGGAGGAACACCGAUGGCGAAGGCAAUCCCCUGGGCCUGCACUGACGCUCAUGCACGAAAGCGUGGGGAGCAAACAGG
rnacentral:rRNA from 1 species